rnacentral:rRNA from 1 species
ACCGGCAGCUCAAGUGGUGGCCAUUUUUAUUGGGCCUAAAGCGUUCGUAGCCGGUUUGAUAAGUCUCUGGUGAAAUCCCGCAGCUUAACUGUGGGACUUGCUGGAGAUACUAUAAGACUUGAAGUCUGGAAAGGUUAGGGGUACUCUCAGGGUAGGGGUGAAAUCCUAUAAUCCUGGGAGGACCACCUGUGGCGAAGGCGCCUAACUGGAACGAACCUUGCGCUGAGUAACGAAAGCCAGGGGCGCGAACCG